rnacentral:rRNA from 1 species
GUGGGGAAUAUUGGACAAUGGGGGGAACCCUGAUCCAGCCAUGCCGCGUGUGUGAAGAAGGCCUUUUGGUUGUAAAGCACUUUAAGCGAGGAGGAGGCUACCGAGAUUAAUACUCUUGGAUAGUGGACGUUACUCGCAGAAUAAGCACCGGCUAACUCUGUGCCAGCAGCCGCGGUAAUACAGAGGGUGCGAGCGUUAAUCGGAUUUACUGGGCGUAAAGCGCGCGUAGGUGGCCAAUUAAGUCAAAUGUGAAAUCCCCGAGCUUAACUUGGGAAGUGCAUUCGAUACUGGUUGGCUAGAGUAUGGGAGAGGAUGGUAGAAUUCCAGGUGUAGCGGUGAAAUGCGUAGAGAUCUGGAGGAAUACCGAUGGCGAAGGCAGCCAUCUGGCCUAAUACUGACACUGAGGUGCGAAAGCAUGGGGAGCAAACAGGAUUAGAAACCCUGGUAGUCC